CGCAUCUGUGCAUGCAGCAUAUCAAUAAGCGGAGGAAAAGAAACUAACAAGGAUUCCCCUAGUAACGGCGAGUGAAGCGGGAAGAGCUCAAAUUUGAAAUCUUCAAGGGUUUACCUUUACGAAUUGUAGUUUAAAGAAGUGUUUUCUGCUGAGGUUUUGGUAAAAGUUCUUUGGAAUAGGACAUCAUAGAGGGUGAGAAUCCCGUAUUUGACCAUUACUUUCAACUUUGUGAUACACUUUCAAAGAGUCGGAUUGUUUGGGAAUGCAGUCCAAAAUGGGUGGUAAUUUUCAUCUAAAGCUAAAUAUUGGCGAGAGACCGAUAGCGAACAAGUACCGUGAGGGAAAGAUGAAAAGAACUUUGAAAAGAGAGUUAAACAGUACGUGAAAUUGUCAAAAGGGAAAGCGUUUGACACCAGUGUUGUUUUUCUGAAAAUCAAUUAAAGAACUGUUUAUGCUAAGUUGUUUAGACUUUAUCAGCUAACUGUUUAGUUUUGAGCUUUUCUUUAAUGCACUUUUCAGUUAACAAGUCAACAUCAAUUUCUUUUGCUGUAAAAAAGCUUGAGGAAGGUGGCUUGAGAUUCGUCUUAAGUGUUUAUAGCCUCUUGCCUAUGCAGUCGGAGAGAUUGAGGUCUGCAGCGUAGAUCCUUCGGGGCUAAAUGCAUUUGUGCUAAGUUAUAGCAUUUUAUAGACAACUUGUUGACUAUGAUUUGUCUUGUAGCUUACUCGCUUAUGUUAUUUUACCUACGCUUAGGAUGUUGAAGUCAUCGUAUCGCGC
rnacentral:rRNA from 1 species